GAGUUUGAUCGUGGCUCAGGAUGAACGCUGGCGGCGUGCUUAACACAUGCAAGUCGAACGAAGCGCCUUAUUUGAUUUUCUUCGGAACUGAAGAUUUGGUGACUGAGUGGCGGACGGGUGAGUAACGCGUGGGUAACCUGCCCUGUACAGGGGGAUAACAAUCAGAAAUGACUGCUAAUACCGCAUAAGACCACAGCACCGCAUGGUGCAGGGGUAAAAACUCCGGUGUACAGGAUGGACCCGCGUCUGAUUAGCUGGUUGGUGAGGUAACGGCUCACCAAGGCGACGAUCAGUAGCCGGCUUGAGAGAGUGAACGGCCACAUUGGGACUGAGACACGGCCCAAACUCCUACGGGAGGCAGCAGUGGGGAAUAUUGCACAAUGGGGGAAACCCUGAUGCAGCAACGCCGCGUGAGUGAGAAGUAUUUCGGUAUGUAAAGCUCUAUCAGCAGGGAAGAAAGUGACGGUACCUGACUAAGAAGCCCCGGCUAACUACGUGCCAGCAGCCGCCGCCGUAACG
rnacentral:rRNA from 1 species